AGCUUUGCGCAGUGGCAGUAUCGUAGCCAAUGAGGUUUAUCCGAGGCGCUAUUAUUGCUAAUUGAAAGAAAGUAACUUAUUACAGCAGCCCACAACAAAGGAACGUUGGAUUUUUUUUUUCUUUUUUUCGAAG
ensembl:snRNA U4 U4 spliceosomal RNA